UACGAAGGGGGCUAGCGUUGCUCGGAAUCACUGGGCGUAAAGCGCACGUAGGCGGAUUGCUAAGUCAGGGGUGAAAUCCUGGAGCUCAACUCCAGAACUGCCUUUGAUACUGGCGACCUUGAGUCCGGGAGAGGUGAGUGGAACUGCGAGUGUAGAGGUGAAAUUCGUAGAUAUUCGCAAGAACACCAGUGGCGAAGGCGACGUGCUGGGUUGCACCUGACGCUGAGAUGCGAAAGUGUGGGGAGCAAACGGG
rnacentral:rRNA from 1 species